rnacentral:rRNA from 1 species
CAGUAGCCGCGGUAAUACGUAGGGUGCGAGCGUUGUCCGGAAUUACUGGGCGUAAAGAGCUCGUAGGCGGUUUGUCGCGUCGUCUGUGAAAUUCUGCAGCUUAACUGUAGGCGUGCAGGCGAUACGGGCAGACUUGAGUACUACAGGGGAGACUGGAAUUCCUGGUGUAGCGGUGAAAUGCGCAGAUAUCAGGAGGAACACCGGUGGCGAAGGCGGGUCUCUGGGUAGUAACUGACGCUGAGGAGCGAAAGCGUGGGUAGCGAACAGGAUUAGAUACCCCAGUAGUCCCUGUCUCUUAUAC